AUUGAACGCUGGCGGCAGGCCUAACACAUGCAAGUCGAGCGGAGCGGCGGACGGGUGAGUAAUGCCUAGGAAUCUGACUUGGAGUGGGGGAGAACGUCCGGAAACGGGAGCUAAUACCGCAUACUAUCAGAUGAGGCUUGGUCGGAUUAGCUAGUUGUGGGGGUAAAUGCAUACCGAGGCGACGAUCCGUAACUGGUCUGAGAGGAUGAUCAGUCACACUGGAACUGAGACACGGUCCAGACUCCUACGUGAGGCAGCAGUGGGGAAUAUUGGACAAUGGGCGAAAGCCUGAUCCAGCCAUGCCGCGUGUGUGAAGAAGGUCUUCGGAUUGUAAAGCACUGUAAGCUGGGAGGCGUUACUAGCAGAAGAAGCACCGGCUAACUUCGUGCAAGCAGCCGCGGUAAUUC
rnacentral:rRNA from 1 species